GAGGGUUGCCAUAGCUUUUUUAUGUAGGGUGACCAGAACCGGCUGAAACUGGUUUGAGGCAGAUCAGCUCCUGAACACAAUGCAGUCACUGAGCUACUACAGUAGGAUAGCAGCUUCCUCCCUUCAUGGCAGCCAAAAGCAGAGGAGCUUGCAGGAAGGUACCAUCCCUACACAGUAUGUGAAUGCACACUUAGACACCACACAGCACUGGUACGUGACUAAUGGAGCCCUAAAAGAUUCUGGGUAGAGAAGAUGGAAAAAAAGGUGCAGGUUUGCAGGGUCUGAGAUUACUUGGGCUUUUCCUGCCUUUUUCUUUUGCUUAAGGGAUGGACAAGGAGCUGAGAUUUAUGACCCUUAUUAGAGAAAAAAAUGUGCCUUGCUAGGGUGGGGACACUUGGUUGAUGCAGUCUCUCUCUCUCUUUCUCGGUGUUUAUAACAAAACAAAACCAAAAUGAACUGAGGGGUUUGUAAUGGUAGUUUGUUUGUUGCUGGAGAAUGCUACUUUGCAUGCUUUUUUUCUCUUGCAGGGUAUGUUCUGUCUUGUGCUUUUUCUUUUAGAAGCUACUAAAGGGUGUUGGGGAUGCUUCUGACUAUUAUGAAGGCCAAAAGGUAACAAUAUUGUUCUAGGAAAUGAGCAUAAAUGCAUUCCAGUGAUGCUGUUAGCCAUACAUGCUGUCUUUUUUUUCCUUGUAGGCCUGUUGACUGGGGCUGCUUUUAACCCUUUCCUAUUUGCUGAGAAUGCAGCCGUGUGACAGUAACUGAACAUUGGUCUAAAGUCUUUCCAAAAGGUCAAGGUUCACAAGAAGACUUGCACUAUCUGCCAGAUGCUGCUUCCUAACCAGUGCAGUUAUGCAUCACACCAGAGAAUCCAUCAGCACAAAUCUCCCUACACCUGCCCUGAGUGUGGGGCCAUCUGCAGGUCGGUGCACUUCCAGACCCACGUCACCAAGAACUGUCUGCACUACACGAGGAGAGUUGGUUUUCGAAUAAUAUAUAAGUGUUCCAUGUGCGACACUGUGUUCACCCUGCAAACCUUGCUGUAUCGCCACUUUGACCAACACAUUGAAAACCAGAAGGUGUCUGUUUUCAAGUGUCCAGACUGUUCUCUUUUAUAUGCACAGAAGCAACUUAUGAUGGACCAUAUCAAG
rnacentral:lncRNA from 1 species